GGGGAAUGUCAACUGAGAGUUCAGGUGGAAUGUCAACUGAGAGUGCUGAGACAACAACAACUCCAGCUCCCGAGACGACAACAACUCCAGCUCCAG